CCUUAGAUGUUCUGGGCCGCACGCGCGCUACACUGACAGAGCCAACGAGUAUAAACCUUGGCCGAGAGGCCUGGGUAAUCUUGUUAAACUCUGUCGUGCUGGGGAUAGAGCAUUGCAAUUAUUGCUCUUCAACGAGGAAUAUCUAGUAAGCGCAAGUCAUCAGCUUGCGUUGAUUACGUCCCUGCCCUUUGUACACACCGCCCGUCGCUACUACCGAUUGAAUGGCUCAGUGAGGCCUUCGGACUGGCUCCAGGAGGUCGGCAACGACCACUCAGAGCCGGAAAGUUGGUCAAACUUGGUCAUUUAGAGGAAGUAAAAGUCGUAACAAGGUUUGGAAUGUAAGAUCCUUCCGUGACGCUUACGAGAAGCCUUUGUGGCCCCGCAAGGGGUAUCCGCCGCGACUGUAAAUAAAGCAUGUGGGUAUUAAAUCGCAAGUCAGCUCCGGCUGGCUACACUUUCGAAUUGCGGGGACUCCCUAAAGCCCAUCUCUACCAACCGAACGGGGAAACCCGUGAGGGGCCGGUGCAAAGAGCACCGGGUUCGGUAAGAACGAGAUGGGAUGAACAAUGGGCAAUCCGCAGCCGAGUCCCUAAGGCGCCAGCUAUGGGAAAGGUUCACAGACUAGGUGGAAGUGGGCUGGUCCGUCCAGCUUAAGAUAUAGUCGGGCUGUUCGCGAGAGUGAACGGAUGUGUCACAACGACGCGCGAAAACCGUUCCGUAGGUGAACCUGCGGAAGGAUCAUUACCAAAAUGACAGCUGUCUUGGCCUCGCGCCCUGACGCUUCAACCUCUUGUGAACCAAACCAAACUUUCGCUUCGGCAGCAGGGCCACCGCCCGUGAGCCUGCCGCUGGCAUCAAAUUAAAACCUGCAUUAAAAACUUGUCUGAAUCCAAAUUUCUGAAUUGAAAUCAAAACUUUCAACAACGGAUCUCUUGGUUCCCGCAUCGAUGAAGAACGCAGCGAAACGCGAUAGCUAAUGUGAAUUGCAGAAUUCAGUGAAUCAUCGAGUCUUUGAACGCACAUUGCGCCCAUUGGUAUUCCGAUGGGCAUGUCUGUUUGAGCGUCAUUACAACCCCUCAGCUCACGCUGGUAUUGAGCAGGCCGUCCCCGACGGCCCGCUUUAAAGUGACGUGCUCUGCUGACCCCGCUCCGACCAGCGCAUAGUAAGCUUUACUUGCGACCCGGUGGCGAAGGCUCGGCCUGAACAAAACCCAACUUUGUGGUUUGACCUCAGAUCAGACAAGGAUACCCGCUGAACUUAAGCAUAUCAAUAAGCGGAGGAAAAGAAACCAACAGGGAUUGCCUCAGUAACGGCGAGUGAAGCGGCAACAGCUCAAAUUUGAAAUCUGGAGCCUUCGGCUUCCGAGUUGUAAUUUGAAGAGGAUGUUUCGGUUGCGGCCCCGGCCCAAGUUCCUUGGAACAGGACGUCAUGGAGGGUGAGAAUCCCGUACCUGGCUGCCGGCUUGCUUCCAUGUGAAACUCCUUCGAAGAGUCGAGUUGUUUGGGAAUGCAGCUCAAAAUGGGUGGUAAAUUUCAUCUAAAGCUAAAUAUUGGCGGGAGACCGAUAGCGCACAAGUAGAGUGAUCGAAAGAUGAAAAGCACUUUGAAAAGAGAGUUAAACAGUACGUGAAAUUGUUGAAAGGGAAGCGCUUGCAAUCAGACUCGCCCGCGGUUGAUCAACACUCCUUCUGGUGUGUGCACUCUGCCGUGGGCGGGCCAGCAUCAGCCGGGGCGGUGGGACAAAGGCGGCGGGAAUGUGGCUCCCCUCGGGGAGUGUUAUAGCCCGUCGUGCAAUGCCACCAGCGCCGGUUGAGGUCCGCGGUUCGCCUAGGAUGCUGGCUUAAUGGUUGUAAGCGAC
rnacentral:rRNA from 1 species